CAGUAGCCGCGGUAAUACGUAGGGUGCAAGCGUUAAUCGGAAUUACUGGGCGUAAAGCGUGCGCAGGCGGUGUUGUAAGACUGAUGUGAAAUCCCCGGGCUCAACCUGGGAACUGCAUUGGUGACUGCAACGCUGGAGUGCGGCAGAGGGGGAUGGAAUUCCGCGUGUAGCAGUGAAAUGCGUAGAUAUGCGGAGGAACACCGAUGGCGAAGGCAAUCCCCUGGGCCUGCACUGACGCUCAUGCACGAAAGCGUGGGAAGCAAACAGGAUUAGAUACCCGCGUAGUCCCUGUCUCUUAUAA
rnacentral:rRNA from 1 species